ensembl:misc_RNA
AGGGCUGGACUGGCAGCCCUCAGCCUCUUCUGUUUACCUGCAGCACAGGUAGUGACAGUGCUAACGUCCCACACUGCCCCUGCCAUAUGCCUUGCUCUGACUUGGAGAGGCCACCUCUAGAGGGGAGGGAAGAGUUUGAACCCAUGUCUUCUCUCCUAAGAUUGC